UGGUAACACUUUAGAUUUAGCUUGUUUACAUUCCAAACACCGUGCACACAUCAUUUCCACAUAUUGUCUCAUUCCAGGCCAAAAGAAAUUUUCAGCAAUUAUGUCUAGUGUUUGGGAUUCCAGAGUGACUCAUAAGUCCUCCACUAUGUGAUUCGCUUAUAAAUACUUCACGUAAAGAGCAAUUAGGGAUACCCAACAUAUUUUCCUUAAAGAGAAACCCAUUAAACCUCUCAAAAGGACGCAACAUACAAUCUGCAAAAAUCUUGAAAAAAUCAAC
rnacentral:lncRNA from 1 species